UUCCGGUUGAUCCUGCCGGACGUAUUGCUAUCGGGGUCCGAUUUAGCCAUGCUAGUCGCUCGGUUUCAGACCCGUGGCGAAAGGCUCAGUGACACGUGGCCAAGCUACCCUGUGGAUCUGGACAACCUCGGGAAACUGAGGCUAAUCCCGAAUAGGGCUCACAUCCUGAAGUGGCGUGAGUCCGAAACGCUCCAGCGCCACAGGAUGUGGCUGCGGCCGAUUAGGUUGACGGGGGGGUAACGGCCCACCGUGCCCAUNAUCGGUACGGGUUGUUAGAACCAGAACCCGGAGACGGGAUUCGAAACCAGAUACCGGGCCCUACGGGGCGCAGCAGGAGGGGAACCCUUACACUGCUCGAGAACNCGAUUAAGGGACCCCGAAUGCGAGGGCAUAUAGUUCUUGGUUUUUUGGACUGUANGGAGGUUCAAGAAUNAGGGCUGGGCAAGGCCGGUGCCAAGCCCCGCAGUNAUACCNGCAGCCCGAGUGAUGGCCGAUUUUAU
rnacentral:rRNA from 1 species